AUUGAACGCUGGCGGCAUGCCUUACACAUGCAAGUCGAACGGCAGCACGGGAGCAAUCCUGGUGGCGAGUGGCGAACGGGUGAGUAAUAUAUCGGAACGUGCCCAGUCGUGGGGAGUAACGUAGCGAAAGCUACGCUAAUACCGCAUACGAUCUAUGGAUGAAAGCGGGGGAGUCGCAAGACCUCGCGCGAUUGGAGCGGCCGAUAUCAGAUUAGGUAGUUGGUGAGGUAAAGGCUCACCAAGCCGACGAUCUGUAGCUGGUCUGAGAGGACGACCAGCCACACUGGGACGUGAGACACGGCCCAGACUCCUACGGGAGGCAGCAGUGGGGAAUUUUGGACAAUGGGCGCAAGCCUGAUCCAGCAAUGCCGCGUGCAGGAUGAAGGCCUUC
rnacentral:rRNA from 1 species